UACAGAGGUCCCAAGCGUUGUUCGGAUUCACUGGGCGUAAAGGGUGCGUAGGUGGUUAGGUAAGUCCGGUGUGAAAUCUCCAGGCUCAACCUGGAAAUGGCAUUGGAUACUAUUUAGCUUGAGGAGUGGAGGGGGGACUGGAAUUCUCGGUGUAGCAGUGAAAUGCGUAGAUAUCGAGAGGAACACCAGUGGCGAAGGCGAGUCCCUGGACACUUCCUGACACUGAGGCACGAAAGCUAGGGGAGCAAACAGG
rnacentral:rRNA from 1 species